rnacentral:lncRNA from 1 species
AGUGACUGAUUUUAAGUAAUGGGGAGAGAUUAAUCCAGUUGGUGAAGGAAUGUCACAUGUGCCCCGGUGGGCCAGAGGGGACUACUCUGUUUCUCUUCUCUACCAUGCCUGAGGACAAAGUGAGAGAAUUUAUGCCAUUUUCUUCUAGGCUGAAGGAAAUUCAUGAUGACCAUAUACUUAAUCUCCACAAAUUAGCAGUUGCACUCAACAGGAUUAAGAGACCCCAAGAUUCUGAGGAAAUGGAUUCAGGAAAGCCUUGGGCAGGAAUGGUACUCUUGAUUCGAUGACUGUUAACAGAGGAAAAGAGGAAGGAAGAUGUUGCAACAUGACAGGAAAUUGAAUAGAAUAUACAUCAUGGUGCGAACGAGGCUGCCGAACAACCUUGUGAGGGAGAAAGAACAUGUUUUGUUAUUGCCAUUAUUCAAUCGAGGAAAAUAAAACGAGGAGGUGUAAAGUGAUUUGUCCAUACAAGCAAUUUGUAAGUGUAUCAAUGCAUUAUGGUGUGGAAGCUGCUGGAUUCCUGCGGUGUUUCAUUCAUGACAACGGUGAUGGCUAUUUGGACUGGAAUUUUUUCAUCAGUUGCUGUUCAAUGAUGAAUUAUUUGAAGGACAUAUUGGUCCCUUUUAGAGAAGACUUUAAAUGCUCUGCAGUGAGGACAUCACAUGAGGUCUAUGGAUGGUGUUUGGACAGAUGUCAAGAAGAGGACUGAAAGAAGUCAGAGAAGAGAAAUAAAUUCCAUGUUCAAUUGUUUCA